GAAAGACCAGGGGUCAGCAGGCGAGGACAGUGACCUGGCCCGGACAGGGCCGAAGAAGUCCCCGGCCCUUGUGCCCCGCCGCCCCGGACCAGGGACUCCGCGGCGACCCCCCUGCCCGCCCCGCGCCCGAGCCCAGGACCGGGGCAGGGAAAGAAGCGGGCGCCACGCGCGGGCAACUUGGAGACUUACCUUCCCGGAUGCGCUACACCAUCAAUGGAGCCCCCCAGCACAUAGUUGUAGAUUCUAGUUGUGAGUGCCUCUGGUUCUGCUUUGUGGGACGCCGCCUCAGCAUGGCCUGAGGAGUGGUGCCAUGUCCUCGCCCGGGAUCUGAACCGACGAAACCCCUGGGCCGCUGAAGCCAAGCCUGCGAACCCAACCACCUGGCCAUGGAGCCGGCCCCUGCC
rnacentral:lncRNA from 1 species